rnacentral:rRNA from 1 species
GACGAACGCUGGCGGCGUGCUUAACACAUGCAAGUCGAACGGUGAGGCGCCUUCCUUUUUGGUGGGUGUGGAUGAGCGGAGAACGGGUGAGUAACACGAGAGUCAACUUCUCCCUUCUUGUGGAUAUCCGCAUGCCAGUGUGGCUACUACGGGAUAUUUUGGGUCUGUCGGAUCAUGGGUCUGGGAAGGUUUUUGUUUCGGUGGGAGAUGGGUUCGCGGCCUAUCAGCUUGUUGGUGGGGUGAUGGCCUACCAAGGCGGUGACGAGUAGCCGACCUGAGAGGGUGGACGACCACGCUGGGACUGAGACGCGCACCAGACUACGACAGGAAGCAGCAGUGAAGAAUACUGCACAAUGGGAGCAAGCCUGAUGCAGCGACGCCGCGUGGGUGAUGGAGGCCUGCUGGUAGAAAACCUCUAUCGCCAGAGAAGAAAGCCGGCAGCGUCUGUGGGCGGGUUGACGGUAGCUAGAUAAGAAGCGACGGCUAACUACGUG